CGGGGUGUAGCGCAGUUGGUAGCGCACCACGUUCGGGACGUGGGGGUCGCUGGUUCGAGUCCAGUCACCCCGACCA
rnacentral:tRNA from 1 species